GAUGAACGCUAGCUACAGGCUUAACACAUGCAAGUCGAGGGGCAGCAUGGUCUUAGCUUGCUAAGGCCGAUGGCGACCGGCGCACGGGUGAGUAACACGUAUCCAACCUGCCGUCUACUCUUGGACAGCCUUCUGAAAGGAAGAUUAAUACAAGAUGGCAUCAUGAGUCCGCAUGUUCACAUGAUUAAAGGUAUUCCGGUAGACGAUGGGGAUGCGUUCCAUUAGAUAGUAGGCGGGGUAACGGCCCACCUAGUCUUCGAUGGAUAGGGGUUCUGAGAGGAAGGUCCCCCACAUUGGAACUGAGACACGGUCCAAACUCCUACGGGAGGCAGCAGUGAGGAAUAUUGGUCAAUGGGCGAGAGCCUGAACCAGCCAAGUAGCGUGAAGGAUGACUGCCCUAUGGGUUGUAAACUUCUUUUAUAAAGGAAUAAAGUCGGGUAUGGAUACCCGUUUGCAUGUACUUUAUGAAUAAGGAUCGGCUAACUCCGUGCCAGCAGCCGCGGUAAUACGGAGGAUCCGAGCGUUAUCCGGAUUUAUUGGGUUUAAAGGGAGCGUAGAUGGAUGUUUAAGUCAGUUGUGAAAGUUUGCGGCUCAACCGUAAAAUUGCAGUUGAUACUGGAUAUCUUGAGUGCAGUUGAGGCAGGCGGAAUUCGUGGUGUAGCGGUGAAAUGCUUAGAUAUCACGAAGAACUCCGAUUGCGAAGGCAGCCUGCUAAGCUGCAACUGACAUUGAGGCUCGAAAGUGUGGGUAUCAAACAGGAUUAGAUACCCUGGUAGUCCACACGGUAAACGAUGAAUACUCGCUGUUUGCGAUAUACUGCAAGCGGCCAAGCGAAAGCGUUAAGUAUUCCACCUGGGGAGUACGCCGGCAACGGUGAAACUCAAAGGAAUUGACGGGGGCCCGCACAAGCGGAGGAACAUGUGGUUUAAUUCGAUGAUACGCGAGGAACCUUACCCGGGCUUAAAUUGCAGAUGAAUUACGGUGAAAGCCGUAAGCCGCAAGGCAUCUGUGAAGGUGCUGCAUGGUUGUCGUCAGCUCGUGCCGUGAGGUGUCGGCUUAAGUGCCAUAACGAGCGCAACCCUUGUUGUCAGUUACUAACAGGUUCCGCUGAGGACUCUGACAAGACUGCCAUCGUAAGAUGUGAGGAAGGUGGGGAUGACGUCAAAUCAGCACGGCCCUUACGUCCGGGGCUACACACGUGUUACAAUGGGGGGUACAGAGGGCCGCUACCACGCGAGUGGAUGCCAAUCCCCAAAACCUCUCUCAGUUCGGACUGGAGUCUGCAACCCGACUCCACGAAGCUGGAUUCGCUAGUAAUCGCGCAUCAGCCACGGCGCGGUGAAUACGUUCCCGGGCCUUGUACACACCGCCCGUCAAGCCAUGGGAGCCGGGGGUACCUGAAGUGCGUAACCGCGAGGAGCGCCCUAGGGUAAAACU
rnacentral:rRNA from 1 species